AUUUUUGUAUUUUUAGUAGAGAAGGGAUUUCACCAUGUUGGUCAGGCUGGUCUUGAACUCCUGACAUCAGGUGAUCUGCCUGCCUCAGCCUCCCAAAGUGCUGGGAUUACAGGUGUGAGCUGCUAUAUAUUUCUUGGCACUUUCAGUAAUAGAGGCUGUUAAGCCACAACACCUCAAGGGCUGGGCCAGUUCAAGGACCGAUGAGAAUGCAGACAGGAACUCAGAUAAGGGUACUGUACUUUCUUGUUGGUUUACUAUGGAACCAGCACACAGGCAGGAUAAAUAUGAGAUUAAGAACACAUGAUGUUAAAAUAGAUGUGGCUACUAGGGCCUCCCAUUUCCCUGACAGAGGCACACCUCAAGGCUGGGGCCUGUGCAGUGAGAAAUCCACCAGCAGAAUGAAGCCUAGAACCUUGGUCCACUGUCUUUUAGGCUAGGGGAAGAGGGGAGAAGUGCCUACAUUAGUCCAUGCCCAAGUUUGGGGAUCCUAUUUUCUUGUCCCACCACAAUACAUAUAACUUCCUUGCUAAUACAAUAUUUUUCUUUCAUUGACAUUGGGCCUACUUAAGAAGUCAGUGCAGGCCGGAUGUGGUGGCUCACGCCUGUAAUCUCAGCACUUUGGGAGGCCGAGGCAGGAGGAUAGCUUGAGGCCAGGAGUUCGA
rnacentral:lncRNA from 1 species